GGCGGACGGGUGAGUAACGCGUAAGGAACUUGCCUCUUGGACUGGGACAACUGUUGGAAACGACAGCUAAUACCGGAUAUUAUGAGAUUCUCGCAUGAGAAACUUAUGAAAGCUAUAUGCGCCAAGAGAGAGCCUUGCGUUCCAUUAGCUAGUUGGUGGGGUAACGGCCCACCAAGGCGACGAUGGAUAGCCGGCCUGAGAGGGUGAACGGCCACAAGGGGACUGAGACACGGCCCUUACUCCUACGGGAGGCAGCAGUGGGGAAUAUUGGACAAUGGGCCACAAGCCUGAUCCAGCAAUUCUGUGUGCACGAUGAAGGUCUUCGGAUUGUAAAGUGCUUUCAGUUGGGAAGAAGAAAGUGACGGUACCAACAGAAGAAGCGACGGCUAAAUACGUGCCAGCAGCCGCGGUAAUACGUAUGUCGCAAGCGUUAUCCGGAUUUAUUGGGCGUAAAGCGCGUCUAGGCGGAAAAAUAAGUCUGAUGUUAAAAUGCGGGGCUCAACUCCGUAUUGCGUUGGAAACUGUUUUUCUAGAGUACUGGAGAGGUGGGCGGAACUACAAGUGUAGAGGUGAAAUUCGUAGAUAUUUGUAGGAAUGCCGAUGGAGAAGUCAGCUCACUGGACAGAUACUGACGCUGAAGCGCGAAAGCGUGGGGA
rnacentral:rRNA from 1 species